rnacentral:rRNA from 1 species
GACGAACGCUGGCGGCGUGCUUAACACAUGCAAGUCGAACGAUGAUGCCCAGCUUGCUGGGUGGAUUAGUGGCGAACGGGUGAGUAACACGUGAGUAACCUGCCCCUGACUCUGGGAUAAGCGUUGGAAACGACGUCUAAUACUGGAUAUGAUCACUGGCCGCAUGGUCUGGUGGUGGAAAGAUUUUUUGGUUGGGGAUGGACUCGCGGCCUAUCAGCUUGUUGGUGAGGUAAUGGCUCACCAAGGCGACGACGGGUAGCCGGCCUGAGAGGGUGACCGGCCACACUGGGACUGAGACACGGCCCAGACUCCUACGGGAGGCGGCAGUGGGGAAUAUUGCACAAUGGGCGAAAGCCUGAUGCAGCAACGCCGCGUGAGGGAUGACGGCCUUCGGGUUGUAAACCUCUUUUAGUAGGGAAGAAGCGAAAGUGACGGUACCUGCAGAAAAAGCACCGGCUAACUACGUGCCAGCAGCCGCGGUAAUACGUAGGGUGCAAGCGUUGUCCGGAAUUAUUGGGCGUAAAGAGCUCGUAGGCGGUUUGUCGCGUCUGCUGUGAAAUCCCGAGGCUCAACCUCGGGCUUGCAGUGGGUACGGGCAGACUAGAGUGCGGUAGGGGAGAUUGGAAUUCCUGGUGUAGCGGUGGAAUGCGCAGAUAUCAGGAGGAACACCGAUGGCGAAGGCAGAUCUCUGGGCCGUAACUGACGCUGAGGAGCGAAAGCAUGGGGAGCGAGCAGGAUUAGAUACCCUGGUAGUCCAUGCCGUAAACGUUGGGCGCUAGAUGUAGGGACCUUUCCACGGUUUCUGUGUCGUAGCUAACGCAUUAAGCGCCCCGCCUGGGGAGUACGGCCGCAAGGCUAAAACUCAAAGGAAUUGACGGGGGCCCGCACAAGCGGCGGAGCAUGCGGAUUAAUUCGAUGCAACGCGAAGAACCUUACCAAGGCUUGACAUACACCGGAAACGGCCAGAGAUGGUCGCCCCCUUGUGGUCGGUGUACAGGUGGUGCGUGGUUGUCGUCAGCUCGUGUCGUGAGAUGUUGGGUUAAGUCCCGCAACGAGCGCAACCCUCGUUCUAUGUUGCCAGCGGGUUAUGCCGGGGACUCAUAGGAGACUGCCGGGGUCAACUCGGAGGAAGGUGGGGAUGACGUCAAAUCAUCAUGCCCCUUAUGUCUUGGGCUUCACGCAUGCUACAAUGGCCGGUACAAAGGGCUGCGAUACCGUAAGGUGGAGCGAAUCCCAAAAAGCCGGUCUCAGUUCGGAUUGAGGUCUGCAACUCGACCUCAUGAAGUCGGAGUCGCUAGUAAUCGCAGAUCAGCAACGCUGCGGUGAAUACGUUCCCGGGCCU